rnacentral:rRNA from 1 species
CAGCAGCCGCGGGAAUACGUAGGGGGCAAGCGUUAUCCGGAAUUACUGGGUGUAAAGGGAGCGUAGACGGUUAAACAAGUCUGAAGUGAAAUGCCGGGGCUCAACCCCGGAGCUGCUUUGGGAACUGUAGAACUGGAGUGUCGGAGGGGUAAGCGGAAUUCCCAGUGUAGCGGUGAAAUGCGUAGAUAUUGGGAGGAACACCGGCGGCGAAGGCGGCUUACUGGACGACAACUGACGUUGAGGCUCGAAGGCGUGGGUAGCAAACAGGAUUAGAUACCCGCGUAGUCCCUGUCUCUUAUAC